UCCUCGGUGGCGCAAUUGGCUAGCGCGUCGUGAGUUUUACCUUGAACAAUUAUCCGAUGUAGACUAGUCUCCUAACAUAUUAUAGUGACUGUUAAUCAGGAGGUUGAAAGUUCGAGCCUUUCCCGGGGAG